UACGUAGGGUGCAAGCGUUUGUCCGGAAUUAUUGGGCGUAAAGAGCUCGUAGGCGGCUUGUCGCGUCGGCUGUGAAAACCUGGGGCUCAACCCCGGGCCUGCAGCCGAUACGGGCAGCUAGAGUUCGGUAGGGGAGACUGGAAUUCCUGGUGUAGCGGUGAAAUGCGCAGAUAUCAGGAGGAACACCGGUGGCGAAGGCGGGUCUCUGGGCCGAAACUGACGCUGAGGAGCGAAAGCGUGGGGAGCGAACAGG
rnacentral:rRNA from 1 species